CCGAAUGGUCAACGGUCUUGUACGGGUUCGAGUAGCAUUCUGAUGCCGACAAGAUGUUGAAAGCAACAUGUUGGAGGGGAGUUUGUGCUUCACACCUGUUAAUACAUCAAACUAGCCUCUCCUCUGUUGAUUCUGCGUUUCCCACUGCCAGUCAGUGUUCCUCAGGAGUCAGUAUAAAGACCGUUACUUUUCACGUUGUUUGUCAAUGAUUUGGAUCAUGGAAUUAAUGGAUUUGUGGCAAAAUUUGCGGAUUAUACGAAGAUAAGUGGCGAGUUCCCCAGAAUAUUUCAUUAAAUGUUGUCGAGGCCUUCGUCGGUUAGAGUUAACCAUGGAUAUUGCAUCCCAGCUGCCGAGAUACACAAACCUGAGAGAAUAACAUGGAGACUAAGCUGGUGCCUGUGUAGCAAGCUUCCCCUCAUCAUGCAUCUGAUGAACCCAAAGGAAUGGCAGAGACUGACACAGCUGGGUACCAGCAGUGUUGUGGGAAUGUUGACAGUCUGCAUUGAACUCAAGAGUGGAUGUGUGCCUGUCCUUGUGGUGUGGGGCUUUUCAUGGAUUCUAUUGCUUCUUUGUUUUAUGGCUGCCUGCAAGAAGAUGCAUUUCUAGAUGGUGUAUGGUAUACAUUGUUAAUAUUGCCUGACCUGCUGAUUCCUGCUUUUAGUUCAGAUCUUCAAUAGCUGCAGCAUAUUGCUUUUGAACUCCGUCCUUCAAACUGGCAAAUGAACCUCGGCAUCACAUUCAAGUUAGAGUCGGCACCUGGACUUUAUUUCCCUAUCAUUUCUAUAUCCGCCACGAUAAUAUUACUCAUAAUAAACAUCCCUUCAAGAUGCAUCACAGUGUGGUAUGGCAGCUGCUUUGCUGAAGGCUGCAAAAACAGCAGAGAGCUAUGUACACACCUAAUCCAUUACAAAAGCCAACCCCCUCUCCAUGGACUCUGCCUACACUACCCACUGCCUGGGAAAAGCAGCCAACAUAACCAAAGCUGCCCCACCCCACCCUUGUCGUUCUCUCUUCUUCCACCACCCAUCAGGCAGAAGAUGCAAGAACUUGAGAAUGUAUGUACGGUCUCAGGGCACAUUCUAUCCCUCUGUUGAAUAAACCCCUCAUACACUAAAAGAUGAACUCUUGAUCGCCAAAUCUACCUUGUAAUGGCCCUUGCCUGUGCUGCACUUUCUCAGUAGCUGUAAAACUACAUUCUGCACUCUGUUUUUCCUUCGUAUUACCUCAUUAUUUAUGGAGUGAUCUGCCUGGAUGAUACCAAACUGUGGAGAAGAUCUCUGUAAUUAUUUUGUCUCACCAAAGAUCUAGGUAAAGGGAUAACAACUAAUGGAUUGAUUUAAACUUUUGGAAAGUGAAUGUGAUUUUAGAAAGGAGGUUCAAUGUUCUUCUGACACCGGGUCAAGAGCACGAUCUAUAGACUGUGCUUUCUUCUUGGUGAGCAGUUUGGGUUCCUGAAUACAAGAGCAACUUCUAACUGUCAAUGCAUUUACAGUGCCUAUAAAAAAUAUCCACCUCCUCACCCCCAUCCCCGCCCAGAAGUUUUCAUGUUUUA